rnacentral:rRNA from 1 species
AGUGAACGCUGGCGGCGUGCCUAAUACAUGCAAGUCGAACGGAGUGGCGCACGGGUGAGUAAUGUAUAGCUCAUCUGCCCUACACUAGAGGACAACAGUUGGAAACGACUGCUAAUACUCUAUAGUGUAGGAUGAGGCUAUAUUGUAUCAGCUAGUUGGUGAGGUAAUGGCGCACCAAGGCUAUGACGCAUAACUGGUCUGUGAGGAUGAUCAGUGACACGGGAAAGGAGACAGGGGGCAGACACCUACGGGAAGGAGCAGUAGGGAAAAAUGGACAAUGGGGGAAACCGUGAAGGAGGAACGGGGCGUGGAGGAUGACACUUUUCGGAGCGUAAACAGCAUUUGAUAGGGAAGCGGUACCUAACGAAUAAGCACCGGCUAACUCCGUGCCAGCAGCCGCGGUAAUAC